UCAAAAUCAAAGUUUUGGGAUUUUUGGUAAAUCAGGGGUUGAUUAGGCUUAGGGUUUUGUUAAUUAGGUUUAGGGUUUUGUUAAUAAAAGUUUCUGAUUUAUUAGAAACUUAAUCAGAGGGUAAAUCUUUAUUUUCAUAGGAGCCUAGUUUUCUUUUCUGAUUUAGAGUGGGCUGAGUGGGCUUAAAUCCAUCGAUCCAAAUAAGGGUCAAACUUUCGUUCUUUUUGGAAGGGGGGUCACUUUCAGAUGCUCAUUUUGUUCCUUGUCUAUUUUUUUUUCUUGUCCUGAAACGCUCAAGGCAGAAGCGAGGUUUUUUCUUUUUUUCCUUUCUCUCCUUCCUUUCUCUUUCUCGCGGGCAGUGGUGAGAGUGCAGUAAUGGAAGUGAAAGAUGCGACGAGGUUGCGACAGAGUCGAGGUGAUGACGGAGUGAUGGUGCAACGAAGUCGUGACGACUACGCGAGGGCAUUGGCCGUUUGGAUUCGCGACACAAGUUUCCUUCCCCUCCACCUUUCUCUGUUUUUCGUUUAAGUUUGGGGAUUUUUCCUAUUUUCGUAUAAGGACGCAGGUUAGGUGUGAACGAUGUUGCGUGGACGAACAAAGGUGGCGGUGACGCGUGUGAGGAAGGCCGACACUGUAGCGGAUUGAACCGUGUUCCGUUUCGACAUUUUAGGGUUCCUGAUCUGGUUCUAUAAUUGGAAAUUUGGGGGUUUUGAUUCUGUGAAUUAGGGUUUUGAUUGUUCUUCAAUUUUGGGGGUUUCUGUUUUGUGGAAUUGCUGAUUUGAGUCCUUCUAUGAUUUGAGACUUAGGGUUCCAUUCAAAUUGAAUUUGGGAUUUUCCUGUUAUGGUAUUUUAAUCUUGUAAUUUCGGUUAAGGUGAAUGACUGGGAUAUGGGUUUCGUCUUCAAUUUGGGGUUCCUAAUAUGAUUUUGGGUCGCCCUCUGGUGGUUCAAGUGGUGGCCAGGGAGGCACUGAUGGUGGUGGCCGUGGUUGUCAAGGUGGUCGGCGAUGACAGCUUCGUCCUGUUUGGACUGAAAAAUCUGGGUUGAUACGGUGGGAACCUAUUUGGGCCUACGACCAGGUUGAACAGAAAUAAAAUUAUUAACUGCAACAAUAAGAAAUUUAGUUGGGUCUGAUUUUGGAUGUGUAAGAAAUUGGUUAUCUGAUACUAAUUAAUAAAUAUUAAAUUGUAAA
rnacentral:lncRNA from 1 species